GGCUAAGGAGGGGGGGGGAGGCGCGGUAAGACGUAGGGUGGAAGCGUUAUCCGUAAUUACUUGGCGUAAAGUGUGCGUAGGCGGUUUAUCAAGUCAGGGGUGAAAGGCUACGGCUCAACCGUAGUGAGCCUCUGAAACUGGGGAACUUGAGUGUAGGAGAGGAAAGUGGAAUUCCCAGUGUAGCGGUGAAAUGCGUAGAUAUUUGGAGGAACACCAGUGGCGAAGGCGACUUUCUGGACUACAACUGACGCUGAGGCACGAAAGCGUGGGGAGCAAACAGGAUUAGAUACCCUAGUAGUC
rnacentral:rRNA from 1 species